rnacentral:rRNA from 1 species
AACGCAGCGAAAUGCGAUACGUAAUGUGAAUUGCAAAUUCAGUGAAUCAUCGAGUCUUUGAACGCACAUUGCGCCCCCUGGUAUUCCGGGGGGCAUGCCUGUCCGAGCGUCAUUGCUGCCCUCAAGCACGGCUUGUGUGUUGGGCCCCGUCCUCCGAUCCCGGGGGACGGGCCCGAAAGGCAGCGGCGGCACCGCGUCCGGUCCUCGAGCGUAUGGGGCUUUGUCACCCGCUCUGUAGGCCCGGCCGGCGCUUGCCGAUCAACCCAAAUUUUUAUCCAGGUUGACCUCGGAUCAGGUAGGGAUACCCGCUGAACUUAAGCAUAUCA